rnacentral:rRNA from 1 species
CCUACGGGUGGCUGCAGUGGGGAAUUUUGGACAAUGGGCGAAAGCCUGAUCCAGCCAUGCCGCGUGCAGGAUGAAGGCCUUCGGGUUGUAAACUGCUUUUGUACGGAACGAAAAGCCUCUUUCUAAUAAAGAGGGGUCAUGACGGUACCGUAAGAAUAAGCACCGGCUAACUACGUGCCAGCAGCCGCGGUGAUACGUAGGGUGCAAGCGUUAAUCGGAAUUACUGGGCGUAAAGCGUGCGCAGGCGGUUUUGUAAGACAGAGGUGAAAUCCCCGGGCUCAACCUGGGAACUGCCUUUGUGACUGCAAGGCUGGAGUGCGGCAGAGGGGGAUGGAAUUCCGCGUGUAGCAGUGAAAUGCGUAGAUAUGCGGAGGAACACCGAUGGCGAAGGCAAUCCCCUGGGCCUGCACUGACGCUCAUGCACGAAAGCGUGGGGAGCA